rnacentral:lncRNA from 1 species
CCAACUCAUUGAUAUUAUCCAAUCCUCUUGGGCUGACAAUUAAGAGCCCAAUUAAACCUAAAUAGAUUUAGGUUAGGUUCAAGGCUAUAGAUUUUAAUCCAAUCGAAGUUCUGAGAAGAAUUAGAUUUAACCAUGUGCUAGCAUGGUUCUAUUAAACCUAAUAGGAUUUCAAUAAAUCCUAAUUCAAUUAGAACUUCAUAAGUCCAAUUGAUAAAUUUGAGAUUAAAUUUCUUAAUAUGGGACCC